rnacentral:rRNA from 1 species
UACGGAGGAUCCAAGCGUUAUCCGGAUUUAUUGGGUUUAAAGGGUGCGUAGGUGGCUUUUUAAGUCAGGGGUGAAAGACGGUAGCUUAACUAUCGCAGUGCCUUUGAUACUGAAGAGCUUGAAUGAACUGGAGGUAAGCGGAAUGUGACAAGUAGCGGUGAAAUGCAUAGAUAUGUCACAGAACACCAAUUGCGAAGGCAGCUUACUACGGUUUUAUUGACACUGAGGCACGAAAGCGUGGGGAUCAAACAGG